ACCUAGGAAUUGCUUUUAAAACUUCUGUUCUGGAAUUCAGGAGAGGAAAAUGGAAUUUCCAGUGUAGAGGUGAAAUUCGUAGAUAUUGGAAGGAACACCAGUGGCGAAGGCGAUUUUCUGGACUGAUAUUGACGCUGAGAUGCGAAGGCAUGGGUAGCAAACGGGAUUAGAUACCCCGGUAGUCCAUGCAGUAAACGAUGGGUGCUAGUCGUCGGACUUUUGUUCGGUGUCGUAGCUAACGCGUUAAGCACCCCGCCUGGGGAGUACGGUCGCAAGAUUAAAACUCAAAUAAAUUGACGGGGACCCGCACAAGCAGUGGAGCAUGUGGUUUAAUUCGACGCAACGCGAAGAACCUUACCAGCGUUUGACAUGGAAAGUGCCGGUUACAGAAUGGUAACCUUCAGUUCGGCUGGCUUUCGCACAGGUGCUGCAUGGCUGUCGUCAGCUCGUGUCGUGAGAUGUUGGGUUAAGUCCCGCAACGAGCGCAACCCUUAUCGUUAGUUACUAACAGUUCGGCUGAGGACUCUAGCGAAACUGCCGGUGAUAAGCCGGAGGAAGGUGGGGAUGACGUCAAGUCCUCAUGGCCCUUACACGCUGGGCUACACACGUGCUACAAUGGUAAUUACAACGGGACGCAAUACCGCGAGGUGGAGCUAAUCCCCAAAAGUUAUCUCAGUUCGGAUUGCACUCUGCAACUCGAGUGCAUGAAGUUGAAAUCGCUAGUAAUCGUAGAUCAGCGUGCUACGGUGAAUACGUUCUCGGGCCUUGUACACACCGCCCGUCACGCCAUGGGAGUUGGUUUUACCUUAAGCCGGUGCGCUAACCGCAAGGAAGCAGCCGUCCACGGUAGGGUCAGCGACUGGGGCGAAGUCGUAACAAGGUAGCCG
rnacentral:rRNA from 1 species